UAAGGGUGAAAAUAAAAUUCCAAAAAUUAUACGACCAAGCCAUUAAACUCCCCUUUCCCUUCUAAUUUUAGGUUGUUGAGUAUUAUAGUGAAGGAUUGGACAUUCUAAAGCAACCAGAAAUACACCAGAGCGAGAGAGCAUAAGCAGAGGGAGCAGCAGAGGAAGAGUGUCCAUGGAGGAGGGUAAAGUGUGGAGUGUAGGGAAGAUCGCUGUUUAAAUAGGUAAGUCAGGAAAACAAUAGAGACGUCA
rnacentral:lncRNA from 1 species